rnacentral:lncRNA from 1 species
AUGAGACUGGUGUCAGGAGUUCAGACUGUGAGGAUUACUAUCAUUAGUGCAUGGCAGGACAUGAAAUUGGAGGAAGAAAUGGCAACAUACUCCAAUAUUCUUGCCUUGGAAAUCCCAUGGACAGAGGAACCUGGCGAGCUACAGUCUGUGGGGUCACAAAAGAGUCCAUCACAACUUAGGAAUUAAAUAACUACAAGGACAUGGAAUAUAAUAGGAGUUUAACAGAUAACUGUUAAAUGAAUAAAGUAUAUGAAUUCUAAUAAAUAUAUUAAAUCAUCUGGUUUAUCUCACUAUAGUUUCUCACUUUCUUAUGUUUUCUUCACAUAUGUCUCAGCAAUAAAGUUACUUCAUUCAUCUAAUUAUUUUUUUCAUUGACUCAUUCAUCAUUUACUGAUCAUCAAGUGUGUCAGGCACUUUUCUAGGAAACUCAGUAAUGAAUAAGAUAGAAUCAAUUAUUGCCCUCAUGCAGCUUCUAAUCUAGAGGUGUUAAGCGUUUCUUUUGAAAACAUGCUUCUCAUGUUGUUUGGCAGAAAGUAGUUUCAGCCAGAAUGCUUCUUUCUUGGGUUUUUUCUUUGCUCUUUGAUCUAGAUCUGUUAAACUAAAUGUCAUUAUUUACAGCAUUCCACUCUUAACUAUUACUGCAUCCUAUGCCAUGGAAAACAGGACUCACACACUGAGACUUCUCAUCUCUAAGAACAAUGAAAAUAUUU